rnacentral:rRNA from 2 species
CGGCCGGGAACUCAAAGGAGACUGCCAGUGAUAAACUGGAGGAAGGUGGGGAUGACGUCAAGUCAUCAUGGCCCUUACGAGUAGGGCUACACACGUGCUACAAUGGCAUAUACAAAGAGAAGCGACCUCGCGAGAGCAAGCGGACCUCAUAAAGUAUGUCGUAGUCCGGAUUGGAGUCUGCAACUCGACUCCAUGAAGUCGGAAUCGCUAGUAAUCGUAGAUCAGAAUGCUACGGUGAAUACGUUCCCGGGCCUUGUACACACCGCCCGUCACACCAUGGGAGUGGGUUGCAAAAGAAGUAGGUAGCUUAACCUUCGGGAGGGCGCUUACCACUUUGUGAUUCAUGACUGGGGUGAAGUCGUAACAAGGUAACCGUAGGGGAACCUGCGGUUGGAUCACCUCCUUA